UAAUACCCAGGGCAGAGUCAAGUUGGGAAGUGAGGAAAAUUUAAUAAUGAGUGGUUAAGCAACGUUCAUGGAAAAAGAGGGCAGUGGGCCUAUAAGGAAGCCAUCAGUACUCCCAAACUAAAGGGCUCCAGAAAAGUAGGGGUGGAGACUCCAGAGACAGGGUUUGUAUAAACAGGACUUCUAGAAGACAUCCUCAAUCAGGUGCAGCCAUCUUGAACCACAGGGAGUAGAACUGGGGAAGCUCAAAUUCAUUCUUUCCUCAAUUUCCAUAUUCUGGAAAUGCAUGCCCAAAGAGAGCUAUGGGCUCCUUGAUGAAGAUUUCAGCUCAAAAGAGCACUUGUUUUACUUGAGCUGAAAUCAAUAUAAGCUCUGUUUUUCAUCAGCGUGAUCAAAGCUUGUCUCUCUAAUGCUCAGUUGCUUAACUAAUCUUUUGGUUUAAUCACAAUGGAAGUAACUUUAAACAUUAAAGCUUUUGUUAACUGCAAGCUUUAUGAAACAUUUGUUAUAGGAAGUUACUGUUAUUGACCUAAAAAAAAAAGUUUCUAAUCAGAGGUUAAACUUAAACUCAACGAAAAAAAUGUACUGACCAGUAUCAGCCAUACAGUCAGAACAGCCCUAUGUUGAUGAAUUCAUUCUUCUUGGGGCUCGUUAGCAGAAAUCAUUCCAGCUUGCUUCCUCCUGUAGUUAUGGAAAGAAAAACUGCAUCUCGACUCUGACACAUUAAUCAAAUAUAUUAUAGAAUUAGUAUGCUUCUUCAUGCGAGAUUUCUCUCUCAAGCCACCCUUGGAGAACUCCCCUGAUCUUUUAUAUUUAUGAUCACAUUUAUUUGGCCUUGAAAUGCAAAAAAAAAUCCUAAAUCAUCAAAAAUUUACAUACUAAUUUGUCUUUUGGUUAAUAAGUUUCCAAAUAAAAGUAACUUCAUACC
rnacentral:lncRNA from 1 species